UCCCCUGCACAACAAGCGCUGAGAGAGCAGCUCUCCUUUAACACCCUGCAAUACCUCAGAGCUUUACACUUGUAAUUAAAUCAUAAAACAACAGCAACUGCAAAGUCAGAGUUUUAAAAACGAGCACUGUAAGACUGUGAUUUGAGGAAAUGGAGGCGUUGGACCUUCAGCUCUGACUGAGGCCCGACACUGAGACAUGAAGCAGCACUGGCUUCCUGAGGAUGUCGCUGUGUAAUGUGACACACUUGAGGAGAUUACAAGUUUCAACAGGUUACCAGAUGACCAUAGGGCAGCCUUGUGUGCAACCAAAUAAUUAAGACACAACUGAGGUAAAAAGAUUUCAGGCCUGAAAUUUCCCCA